UUUGAAAACAUUGAUCAUUUGAUUCUAUUGGUUCUUUGGUGCUGAUGUCAUACUCUUGAUGUUUAUUUCACAUAUUUUGUUCAUUAUGAUGAAGGUGUUAUAUGGUCCCUGGUCUUUCGUAUGAGCCAAGUGACUUUAAGCCCGUUAUGAAACAUGCCUGGUAGUUAGGUAACAGUAUCUCAUUUUCUCUGUUGCCUUUCUACUGGAAAUACUGUUUGGCUAGCACUCUCUCUACCUUUUUCUGUAUAUAUUAUUAGCCCAUUUUUAUUGUUUACAUCACUGCAGUUUCUCUUGUUCCAGCUUUGCCAGCGUUUUUGUUUCUCUGCCAUCACGGAAAAAUUAGUCCCCUAAAAAAGGUCACACUUGGU
rnacentral:misc_RNA from 1 species